rnacentral:lncRNA from 1 species
GGGAAUCAGUAAGACUACAUUAAUCCUGAAAAAAUUAGAAAACUGAGGGAACUAUUAGUCACUAUAUGGGGCCUAAACUGGAGAAAACCUAGUCAAGUAUGGCUGAGAAAGAGAGAGAGAGAGAGAGAGAGAGAGAGAGAGAGAGGGGCUGAGGAAUUUGCUGGUUGAUUGUUUAGGCCUUUUGGUCUUUAGAGGUCUGAUGUCAAUAUUUUAAAAUGCUGGAGUAUGUGUUUGGAACAUAAAAUGAGACAAUUAUAGAGAUUCUUACUGUUAUUUGGAUAUUCGCUUUUAUAUGCAUGAAAUGGUUGUAAAGUGUAGAUAGGAGGUUGGUGAGCUGUCUUAAGUAAGCUGUGUAUUUGUGAUAGAGAAAGACUAAUAGUGAAUAAUAAACCUAAAAAUAGGGGGAACUAAGAAAAUUCUAAAACCUCUGCAAUAGUUCAAAUGAAUAAUAAGGCCUUUUGGUCUUUAGAGGUCUAUUGUCAAUAUUUUAAAAUGCUAGAGCAUGUGUUUGGACAUAAAAUGAGACCAUUAUAGAGAUUCUUACUGUUGUCUGGAUAUUCGCUUUUAUAUACAUGAAAUGGUUUUAAAGUGUAGAUAGGAGGUUGGUGAGCUGUCUUAAGUAAGCUGUGUAUUUGUGAUAGAGAAAGAUUCUUCUCUUGUAAGUUUUGUAGACUGGAUAGGCUCCUAGUUAGGGAAAGUGGUGUGUAUACUCCAUGUAUACUUAGAGGGCACCGGUUUUUGGUGUUUCCUCUUUUCGUUUAAUAUACUUCUUUUACUUAUCAAAAAAAAAAAUAGUGAAUAAUAAACCCAAAAAUAGGGGGAAACUAAGAAAAUUCUAAAACCUCUGCAAUAAUUCAAAUGAAUUAUAAGGCCUUUUGGUCUUUAGAGGUCUGUUGUCAAUAUUUAAAAUGCUAGAGUAUGUGUUUGGAACAUAAAAUGAGACAAUUAUAGAGAUUCUUACUGUUGUCUGGAUAUUUGCUUUGGGAUAGAGAAAGACUAAUAGUGAAUAAUAAACCUAAAAAUAG